UACGUAGGGUGCGAGCGUUAAUCGGAAUUACUGGGCGUAAAGGGUGCGCAGGCGGUUCUGCAAGUCAGGCGUGAAAUCCCCGGGCUUAACCUGGGAAUGGCAUUCGGGACUGCAAGGCUGGAGUGCGGCAGAGGAGACUGGAAUUCCUGGUGUAGCAGUGAAAUGCGUAGAUAUCAGGAGGAACACCGAUGGCGAAGGCAGGUCUCUGGGCUGACACUGACGCUCAUGCACGAAAGCGUGGGGAGCAAACAGG
rnacentral:rRNA from 1 species